rnacentral:rRNA from 1 species
UACGUAGGGGGCUAGCGUUGUCCGGAUUUAUUGGGCGUAAAGAGCGUGUAGGCGGUCUGUCGCGUCUGCUGUGAAAAUCCGGGGCUCAACCCCGGACUUGCAGUGGGUACGGGCAGACUAGAGUGUGGUAGGGGAGACUGGAAUUCCUGGUGUAGCGGUGAAAUGCGCAGAUAUCAGGAGGAACACCGAUGGCGAAGGCAGGUCUCUGGGCCACUACUGACGCUGAGAAGCGAAAGCAUGGGGAGCGAACAGG